GAUGAACGCUGGCGGCGUGCCUAAUACAUGCCAGUCGAGCGAACAGACGAGGAGCUUGCUCCUCUGACGUUAGCGGCGGACGGGUGAGUAACACGUGGAUAACCUACCUAUAAGACUGGGAUAACUUCGGGAAACCGGAGCUAAUACCGGAUAAUAUAUUGAACCGCAUGGUUCAAUAGUGAAAGACGGUUUUGCUGUCACCUAUAGAUGGAUCCGCGCCGCAUUAGCUAGUUGGUAAGGUAACGGCUUACCAAGGCAACGAUGCGUAGCCGACCUGAGAGGGUGAUCGGCCACACUGGAACUGAGACACGGUCCAGACUCCUACGGGAGGCAGCAGUAGGGAAUCUUCCGCAAUGGGCGAAAGCCUGACGGAGCAACGCCGCGUGAGUGAUGAAGGUCUUCGGAUCGUAAAACUCUGUUAUUAGGGAAGAACAAAUGUGUAAGUAACUAUGCACGUCUUGACGGUACCUAAUCAGAAAGCCACGGCUAACUACGUG
rnacentral:rRNA from 1 species